GCUGCCUUUUGAAAAGACAGAAAAAAACCCCCAGUUCAUGUAAGGUCUGCAGCUCUGAGAGAUGCACAAUCUGUGGCAGGUCUGGGGUUUUAAUGUCCCAUUAUGCAUGUUAAAACCAGGAGGCUCUUGUGUCUUUUCAUUUCUGCAAGGCUUCAAGCCUACGCUACUUUCUGUCUCUUCAGGAAACCCAUGAUUAGAUAACCUGCCAAGAAUAACGAGCUGGUGUGCGUUUGGGUUCCAAGCUCUGGAAUGAAAUCUGAUUUAUGCACAAGAAAUUUGUUACAGCAUUCCGUUAUCCUGACAACCAGGAGCAGAGCAUAUGCCCAUCGCUAUGUAGGGUGGACCCAUGCAGCCGGCACUUCCCUCCUUUUGUCCUUGGUUGGCCUCCCGGUAGACAUCUGUCUGAUAAUCUAACUAGGAAUGCAGCUGUUUAUAUGGAGCCCACAUGUGUUCCAUUCACACGGUUCAUGGCAUUGCAACCGUUGCUCUACAUCUACUGAGCUGAAGAGCAGAUGUUUCCUGUCUAACGUCACUGUGUACAAUCAUAAACUCCUGUCCUGUAUCAAGUGUGAGGAUAAUGAAUAAAACUGGCAGGCGGAGGACCUAGAAAUACAUUCAAUUGGAAGCAAACCCAAAAUACAACUUUACAAUACUAAAUGUUAUGCUUCGAUGGCUUCCAAUAUACUGUCUAUGUGGAAUAAAGAGGAGACUAAACGUUCACUUUUUGCUGAAAUUCUGUUAGUGCCGGUUUUAUAUACUGUAUGUGAAUAUAUAAUGCUUGUAUAUAUGCUUGCACCCUGUUUAUGAUUUUAGCUUCAAAAGGGCAAUCAUCUCCUGGCUAUGUGUUGAUAUGUUAGUAAAGGAUCAGGUUAUUCUAAUGUGCAGUGCAAAUGCCAAAUAGUCCUGAACUCACUGGUAGUAAAGACAAGGCAGAGAAUCCUUUGUAGCAUGCUUUACAACAGUGCUUCUCAUUAAAGACUCAAAUGCUUAUUGUAAUUAACAACCAGGCCAAUUUCACGAAUCAACACCGAGAUCUAUUUCACUUUCUACAGUUUCUUAUAGGAGCCUGCAAGCAUUGCUCUUCAAUAGAUUUUUUAGAAGCAGAAUCAAGAACAAUUAGAAUGAAAUAACCUGGCACUAUAAUUAAAUUCUAUGAAGCAGCAUCAACAGACAUGAAAGGAGAGGGUGCCCACUCCCUCAACAUAAUUGCAAAUAAGACUCACAGAUGGAGAAACACUGCUCUAAAAGACAGCACCAUUUGUCUAUUUGAGCCAGUA